rnacentral:piRNA from 2 species
UAUUAAUGAACACUUCUAAGAAACACUGA